UGCUUUGAUGAAGUUUUCGGAUGGAUUUAAACAGCUUAGUGGCGGACGGGUGAGUAACGCGUGGGUAACCUGCCUCACACUGGGGGAUAACAGUUAGAAAUAGCUGCUAAUACCGCAUAAGCGCACGGUUCCGCAUGGAACAGUGUGAAAAACUCCGGUGGUGUGAGAUGGACCCGCGUUUGAUUAGCUGGUUGGUGGGGUAACGGCCUACCAAGGCGACGAUCAAUAGCCGACCUGAGAGGGUGACCGGCCACAUUGGGACUGAGACACGGCCCAAACUCC
rnacentral:rRNA from 1 species